UGAUGCUUAUGGAUGUCUACCAAUGCCUGCAUGACACUUCAGAUGUUAGGGAGAGCUGGGUGUCAAUGUUUGAAGCUUGCUGUUAGGCACAAGCAUGGACAGAAGUGUCCAUGAGGAGGGAGGAUGCCUGUCCUGCACUAACCAGGAGGCUAGGGGUGCUGGGGCUUGCAUGGGAUGAGGUGUGUAGGCCAGGGACAAGGUUGCAUACAGCCUGGAGACACCAAAUCGGAGCAGUGAGGCCAGGCCUAGGCUCAUCCAAUACUCUUUAGGGCCGCACACGCACAAGGAGAGGCCCAAAGGCAACAGUGGAGCUCCACCUCCACAAGGCAGUGUGGGAGUGAGGGGGGGCCUGCUCCUUGACCAUUCCCAGGCAACCAAGUGCCUCGUCAGUCAGCAGCAGUGCUGACACUGAUCUCCAGCGUCCUCUGGCUUCGCAUUAGUAUCGCCUUGCACGCACAACCAUUACAGCCAUUGCAUUAGUGAUAGAUGAGUAAUCUUAGAUCCUCCUCCUGAAUCACAGGGCUGGACAGCGACACCAAAGUGAAGGGAUUGCUUAUUACCAUAAAGGGACCAAAGGGUCCCUCCUCCAUCCAUCCUGGAACAUCGUGCACUAACCUAUUAGUAACAGGGCUUCAAGGAGCAGAAAAAGGCUUAGAGAAACAGCCUUUCUUCUUGCAGAAGAGCGUGGAUUUUGUACGGAGGAUGGUUCUGAAUGUCAAGACUGACGUUUUCUCAACCUGAACACAGCACCGCACACCGGCCUUGCUCUGGUUCCCACCGGCCCCAGCUACUCCACAUCCCAGGUGCCACGCACGAGCCAAAGACACAGCCCAAGGAUGAAGUAAUGGGAGCUGACCUGCAGCCUGCAACGUGAUCGGGGCAGUACAGAGCAGCAUCGGGUGAAUUGAACACAGAGAGGUGCGAGCAGAGCUGACCGUGCACCGGGCUGCACCAGCCUUCCUGCUGUUCCUCGAAAAACUCCCAGCCACAUACUGGCAUGAACAGAUCCCACUCAGUUCUUGGCAUUUAGCACGCUCACAGGCUGCAGUGAUUCAUAGAAAGCUCCUUGUUCUGGCCCUGGAAUGAGCGUACAUGUUUCAGAGCCUUUUUUUCAUGCAGCUAUGCUGCAGUCUCCUAAAAAUGCAUGUGCAGGCAGAUCGUUCUGCAGAUCCUAUGGCAACGGGCUGCACGGCGGCUGGCUGGCUGCAUGACAAUGUGCAAGGCUUGUGCAUGGAGAAACACCACGCUCACAGGGAGAAAACUUCCUAGGAAUAUUAGUAUGCAGCACCCACUGCCAAGAUAUCAUAGCAAUCCAGCAAGAUCUGACUGCUCAGAAUUAUUAUUCAUGUACAGUGGAAUAUGUAUUUUUUUUUUAAGCAGCAUUGUAAAUUAAUGCCAGCAAAACGUAAUUUGUAAUUUAAAUGUAAAUCAGAAUUGAGUAAGGAUAUAAUGAAGCUCCGAAUGCCUCGGUGGUAUUUGCUAACCCGUCUGUUUUGUGGUGCUUUUUUCACCAAGAUGUUAAAGUUCAUUGUUCAUGCUGAAUACCUCCAAGUGUGUUAUCUGUAUACGUGUGCAGUAAAUACAUACAUAAUAACGAAA
ensembl:lncRNA